AGAGUUUGAUCAUGGCUCAGGACGAACGCUGGCGGCGUGCCUAACACAUGCAAGUCGAACGGAGAUAUGCGAACGAGGCCUUCGGGCGGAGAUUGCAUAUUUUAGUGGCGGACGGGCGAGUAACGCGUGAGCAACCUGCCCUUCAGAGGGGGAUAACGGCUGGAAACGGCCGCUAAUACCGCAUGACAUAUACACAAGGCAUCUUGAGUAUAUCAAAGGAGGAAUCCGCUGAAGGAUGGGCUCGCGUCCGAUUAGCUGGUUGGUGAGGUAACGGCUCACCAAGGCGACGAUCGGUAGCCGAACUGAGAGGUUGAUCGGCCGCAUUGGGACUGAGACACGGCCCAGACUCCUACGGGAGGCAGCAGUGGGGGAUAUUGCACAAUGGAGGAAACUCUGAUGCAGCGACGCCGCGUGGGGGAAGAAGGUCUUCGGAUUGUAAACCUCAGUAGUCAGGGAAGAAGCAAGUGACGGUACCUGAAGAGUAAGCUCCGGCUAACUACGUGCCAGCAGCCGCGGUAAUACGUAGGGAGCGAGCGUUGUCCGGAAUUACUGGGUGUAAAGGGUGCGUAGGCGGGUCAGCAAGUCAGGCGUGAAAUACCGGGGCUCAACUCCGGGGCUGCGCUUGAAACUGUUGGUCUUGAGUGAAGUAGAGGCAGGCGGAAUUCCUAGUGUAGCGGUGAAAUGCGUAGAUAUUAGGAGGAACACCAGUGGCGAAGGCGGCCUGCUGGGCUUUAACUGACGCUGAUGCACGAAAGCAUGGGGAGCAAACAGGAUUAGAUACCCUGGUAGUCCAUGCCGUAAACGAUGAUAGCUAGGUGUGGGGGGUUAUAUGCCGUCCGUGCCGGAGUUAACACAAUAAGCUUUCCACCUGGGGAGUACGGCCGCAAGGCUAAAACUCAAAUGAAUUGACGG
rnacentral:rRNA from 1 species